rnacentral:rRNA from 1 species
GGCAGCCUACACAUGCAAGUCGAGCGGUAGAGAGAAGCUUGGUGCUCUUGAGAGCGGCGGACGGGUGAGUAAUGCCUAGGAAUCUGCCUGGUAGUGGGGGAUAACGUUCGGAAACGGACGCUAAUACCGCAUACGUCCUACGGGAGAAAGCAGGGGACCUUCGGGCCUUGCGCUAUCAGAUGAGCCUAGGUCGGAUUAGCUAGUUGGUGAGGUAAUGGCUCACCAAGGCGACGAUCCGUAACUGGUCUGAGAGGAUGAUCAGUCACACUGGAACUGAGACACGGUCCAGACUCCUACGGGAGGCAGCAGUGGGGAAUAUUGGACAAUGGGCGAAAGCCUGAUCCAGCCAUGCCGCGUGUGUGAAGAAGGUCUUCGGAUUGUAAAGCACUUUAAGUUGGGAGGAAGGGUUGUAGAUUAAUACUCUGCAAUUUUGACGUUACCGACAGAAUAAGCACCGGCUAACUCUGUGCCAGCAGCCGCGGUAAUACAGAGGGUGCAAGCGUUAAUCGGAAUUACUGGGCGUAAAGCGCGCGUAGGUGGUUUGUUAAGUUGGAUGUGAAAUCCCCGGGCUCAACCUGGGAACUGCAUUCAAAACUGACUGACUAGAGUAUGGUAGAGGGUGGUGGAAUUUCCUGUGUAGCGGUGAAAUGCGUAGAUAUAGGAAGGAACACCAGUGGCGAAGGCGACCACCUGGACUAAUACUGACACUGAGGUGCGAAGCGUG